rnacentral:rRNA from 1 species
AUUACCGAGUGCGGGCCCUCUGGGUCCAACCUCCCAUCCGUGUCUAUCUGUACCCUGUUGCUUCGGCGUGGCCACGGCCCGCCGGAGACUAACAUUUGAACGCUGUCUGAAGUUUGCAGUCUGAGUUUUUAGUUAAACAAUCGUUAAAACUUUCAACAACGGAUCUCUUGGUUCCGGCAUCGAUGAAGAACGCAGCGAAAUGCGAUAAUUAAUGUGAAUUGCAGAAUUCAGUGAAUCAUCGAGUCUUUGAACGCACAUUGCGCCCCCUGGUAUUCCGGGGGGCAUGCCUGUCCGAGCGUCAUUGCUGCCCUCAAGCACGGCUUGUGUGUUGGGCUUCCGUCCCUGGCAACGGGGACGGGCCCAAAAGGCAGUGGCGGCACCAUGUCUGGUCCUCGAGCGUAUGGGGCUUUGUCACCCGCUCCCGUAGGUCCAGCUGGCAGCUAGCCUCGCAACCAAUCUUUUUAACCAGGUUGACCUCGGAUCAGGUAGGGAUACCCGCUGAACUUAAGCAUAUCAAUAAGNCGGAGGAA